CCUACGGGAGGCAGCAGUGAGGAAUAUUGGUCAAUGGUCGGGAGACUGAACCAGCCAAGCCGCGUGAGGGAUGAAGGUACAGAGGAUCGUAAACCUCUUUUGUCAGGGAACAAAGGCGGGGACGUGUCCCCGGAUGAGUGUACCUGAAGAAAAAGCAUCGGCUAACUCCGUGCCAGCAGCCGCGGUAAGACGGAGGAUGCGAGCGUUAUCCGGAUUUAUUGGGUUUAAAGGGUGCGCAGGCGGUUUGUUAAGUCAGCGGUAAAAGCCCGGGGCUCAACCCCGGCCCGCCGUUGAAACUGGGAGUCUCGAGUAGGAGUGAAGUAGGCGGAAUGCGCGGUGUAGCGGUGAAAUGCAUAGAUAUCGCGCAGAACUCCGAUUGCGAAGGCAGCAUGCCGGCUCCACACUGACGCUGAGGCACGAAAGCGUGGGUAUCGAACAGGAUUAGAUACCCGUGUAGUC
rnacentral:rRNA from 1 species